AAAAGGAAAAAAAAAAAAAGUUAACACCGUGAACAGCAAAAUUUCGUUGCUCUUCUGUUGGUGUCCUCCUUUUGGCUUAGUCUUGACCUUUUACUUCCUUCAAAUGA
rnacentral:ribozyme from 1 species